UACAGAGGGUGCAAGCGUUGUUCGGAAUUAUUGGGCGUAAAGCGCGUGUAGGCGGCAUGGCAAGUCGGGUGUGAAAGCCCUCAGCUCAACUGAGGAAGUGCGCCCGAAACUGCUGUGCUUGAGUACCGGAGAGGGUGGCGGAAUUCCGCAAGUAGAGGUGAAAUUCGUAGAGAUGCGGAGGAACACCGGUGGCGAAGGCGGCCACCUGGACGGUCACUGACGCUGAGACGCGAAAGCGUGGGGAGCAAAC
rnacentral:rRNA from 1 species